UACGGAGGGGGCAAGCGUUGUUCGGAAUUACGGGGCGUAAAGGGCGCGUAGGCGGCCGGCCGCGUCAGAUGUGAAAGCCCCGGGCUCAACCUGGGAGGUGCAUUUGAUACGGGUCGGCUCGAGGCCGAGAGAGGUGAAUGGAAUUCCCAGUGUAGAGGUUAAAUUCGUAGAUAUUGGGAAGAACACCAGUGGCGAAGGCGGCUCACUGGCUCGGUACUGACGCUGAGGCGCGAAAGCGUGGGGAGCAAACAGG
rnacentral:misc_RNA from 1 species